rnacentral:rRNA from 1 species
AUACGAAGGGCCCAAGCGUUAAUCGGAAUCACUGGGCUUAAAGCGUACGUAGGCGGACUCGCAGGCACCUUGUGAGAUCCCUCGGCUCAACCGAGGAACUGCUUGGUGAACCGCGCGUCUUGAGGCAAGUAGGGGCUGUCGGAACGAUAGGUGGAGCGGUGAAAUGCGUUGAUAUCUAUCGGAACGCCGAAGGCGAAGGCAGACAGCUGGGCUUGUUCUGACGCUGAGGUACGAAAGCGUGGGGAGCGAACGGGAUUAGAAACCCCAGUAGUCC